GAUGAACGCUGGCGGCGUGCCUAACACAUGCAAGUCGAACGGAGUAUCUUAUAUAGACUUUCUUCGGAGAUGAAAUAUUAGAUACUUAGUGGCGGACGGGUGAGUAACGCGUGGGUAACCUACCUCAUACAGGGGGAUAACAACCGGAAACGGCUGCUAAAACCGCAUAACAAAGACUAAUCGCAUGAUUAAUCUUUCAAAUAUUUUAUAGGUAUGAGAUGGGCCCGCGUCUGAUUAGCUAGUUGGUGAGAUAAAAGCCCACCAAGGCGACGAUCAGUAGCCGGCUUGAGAGAGUGACCGGCCACAUUGGGACUGAGACACGGCCCAAACUCCUACGGGAGGCAGCAGUGGGGAAUAUUGCACAAUGGGGGAAACCCUGAUGCAGCGACGCCGCGUGAGUGAAGAAGUAUUUCGGUAUGUAAAGCUCUAUCAGCAGGGAAGAAAAUGACGGUACCUGACUAAGAAGCCCCGGCUAACUACGUGCCAGCAGCCGCGGUAAU
rnacentral:rRNA from 1 species